rnacentral:lncRNA from 1 species
CCCUGCUUCUAAAUUUUAUUAAAUAUCUAUUUUAUUGUAAAUAUUUUACAAAAACAAGCCAAAAUUCUAAAAAAUUAAAUAAGUAAUCAAUUGUGCAUGAUCAUGGAAGUGUCAACUUCUUAAGAGCUUCCAAUAUAAAGUUUCAUGAACAUCUGAUAAAGCAUGUAGAAGUAGUCGCAACCACAAAGAACAUAAUGAGUUUUUUUAAUUGUAAAGGGGUAUAACUCUAGGAAUGGACCAAAAAUGGCCUAUUAAUACGUGCAUCUUAAACAAAAAUCUUCCAAUAUACAAGUUCUCCUGAAUGUCUGAUGAAAUAUGCAUCAGGAAAUAUUCUACAAAGUACAUACAGAGUAGUAUCAUAAUUUGUGUAAGUGAAAAGGGACAUAACUAGGAUUUGUCAGUGGACCAGGAUGCUACUUUAUAUAUCUUUACAAAUCUUCUAAUGUUUGUUUGACUAAUAGCUUUAGUUUUUUAACGUCCAAUUGCAAAUAUUUCACGUGUAUUCGCGGCUAAACAAUUUUAUCAAAAUUUCAAUAAGUAGCUUCUGCAUAUGUGGAACGACCGGGAUAAAAAGCAGAAAUUGUUUAAUGCCACUAGAAAAUGAAGGUAUGUUGAAUAGGGUCAGACAUUUUACCUUGCAAUAGACCACUUAUACAUAUCACACACAAUUGUUGUUAUGGGUUAUAACGUACAUGUACCAGGAUACAUCUUUCCCUACACGAGUAGCGGAUUUAACGUGUCGUCGUUUUUCUUAUUAGACAUUGUUGCAUAUUUAUACAUGUUAUACAACUUAUCUUGUUGGCAUGAGUUUUACAGUUGGAUGGGAAAAGUCAAAGAAUUACCAUAUUUCUAUAACUAGGUCAAUUCUAAAAAAAAAAAGUAUAGAUACAUAAGUACGUGUCGGUAAAAAUUACAAAUGGCAAUCAAAAAAGAUGACAAGUAAUUGAUUAUUUGUAUUAUAAGAUAAGAUAAGAUAAGAUAAGAAUUUUAUUAAUCUAAUCAAGAACCCAUAAAGGGCAUCAUUUUACAACACAAUAUGAUUGGAAAAAGCAAAACAGAAAACUAAUACCAUACUAUAACGUUAUGGACAGGAUCAGAGCCUAACGCAACAUGUGUUUUAUAUAACUAUUAUAUUAAAUGUUA